UUGGUCUUAAGGGGCUCUAUCUGGGCCGACACUUUAAGCACACGCAGUAUGACUAUGUCUUGGUCUUAAGGAGCUCUAUCUGGGCCGACACUUUACAUACAUGCAGUAUGUCUUGGUCUUAAGGGGCUCUAUCUGGGCCGACACUUUACCCACAUGCAGUAUGUCUUGGUCUUAAGGGGCUCUAUCUGGGCCGACACUUUACGCACAUGCAGUAUGUCUUGGUCUUAAGGAGCUCUAUCUGGGCCGACACUUUACCCACAUGCAGUAUGUCUUGGUCUUAAGGAGCUCUAUCUGGGCCGACACUUUACGCACAUGCAGUAUGUCUUGGUCUUAAGGGGCUCUAUCUGGGCCGACACUUUACGCACAUGCAGUAUGUCUUGGUCUUAAGGGGCUCUAUCUGGGCCGACACUUUACGCACAUGCAGUAUGUCUUGGUCUUAAGGAGCUCUAUCUGGGCCGACACUUUACGCACAUGCAGUAUGUCUUGGUCUUAAGGAGCUCUAUCUGGGCCGACACUUUACCCACAUGCAGUAUGUCUUGGUCUUAAGGGGCUCUAUCUGGGCCGACACUUUACGCACAUGCAGUAUGUCUUGGUCUUAAGGGGCUCUAUCUGGGCCGACACUUUACAUACAUGCAGUAUGUCUUGGUCUUAAGGAGCUCUAUCUGGGCCGACACUUUACCCACAUGCAGUAUGUCUUGGUCUUAAGGGGCUCUAUCUGGGCCGACACUUUACCCACAUGCAGUAUGUCUUGGUCUUAAGGGGCUCUAUCUGGGCCGACACUUUACGCACAUGCAGUAUGUCUUGGUCUUAAGGGGCUCUAUCUGGGCCGACACUUUACCCACAUGCAGUAUGUCUUGGUCUUAAGGAGCUCUAUCUGGGCCGACACUUUACGCACAUGCAGUAUGUCUUGGUCUUAAGGAGCUCUAUCUGGGCCGACACUUUACGCACAUGCAGUAUGUCUUGGUCUUAAGGAGCUCUAUCUGGGCCGACACUUUACGCACAUGCAGUAUGUCUUGGUCUUAAGGAGCUCUAUCUGGGCCGACACUUUACAUACAUGCAGUAUGUCUUGGUCUUAAGGGGCUCUAUCUGGGCCGACACUUUACGCACAUGCAGUAUGUCUUGGUCUUAAGGAGCUCUAUCUGGGCCGACACUUUACGCACAUGCAGUAUGUCUUGGUCUUAAGGGGCUCUAUCUGGGCCGACACUUU